AAGAGGGAAGAUUGUAAAGGCACCAAACAUGACUCUGUUUUCUCCGAUUGGAAGAUUCUUGUUGGGCCUUCUGAUUGGGAAGACCACUCCCUGGGGAAGGAAGGAGCAGAGAGAUACAGGGUUCACAACCUCCCGAAUUGUUCUCAUGCUCAGGGCUUCAUGAGCUCGGCAUAGCUGUACCGCUCUCCAGUUCAAGCCGUGAGACUAGCAAGCUUGACCCAAACUAUAUAAUUCCGGUUUACCUUGGACAGGCUGAAAAUGUAAGAACUAGACUGCAGCGUUGUGGCCGUGGAGGCGCUCAUUUGGAGAAUGGAAAGCCAACUAGUGAGCUUAAUUAUUCUACUCAACAAGGGCUUGGAUUGUUUACGGAUAUAUUUGCAAGACGCUACUCAGUUGUAUAUAGACGGGCCCCUAUGAAGAAUAAGAGCAAUGCUGAAAAAACAGAAGCUCAGCUCCUUGACACAUUUGAUUAUGCAUGGAACAAAGGCAGUAAUGGUGUUCGCUGCCCUAACGAUAUCCUCCAAAAACUUGAUCGAUGCACUUCACCAAGUACCCGGUUUCCCGCUAUUGUGAGGAAGCUUUUGACUUUCCAGGAGAAGGAAAAAGGUAUCAAAAUUGAAGCCUGCAAGCCGAUUAUAUUGGGAAAAGGAUCCAACACAUAAUGCAAUGAGGAGAACAAUGAUCUCCUCUCUCGAAUUCUCAAAAUAGGCAGAUCACGGCCUAGACUUGUUCCAGUUAAAUAUGGUAUAGACAAGGACCAUGCUACUAUAUGUGGGGUGGCCUUAGGUCAUGGAUCUAUUUGCAGGAGGAUACCAGUUGAAGGAAGGAAAAGGUGUGUUGGGCACAAAGGGAUGAAAGUAACGCUUUGACCUCAAAGUUGAUUAUAGAUGAGAAAUCACCUAUUGAUUCUGGUGUUGAUGCUACAAGUUUCUGCUAUGACAAAGUGAAGCUUCAACCGGCUACCGAUAGUUUUCCCGUCGGCAACAAUUCCUUUCUUAUCUGUGGAAUCACCUCAGACGAUGGCGCUCUGUGUAGACAACAACCGGUCCAAGGGAGAAAAAGAUGUGAAGAGCACAAAGGAAGAAAGAUUACAAGGUCCCAUAAACCUCAUACAAGCUACUCUCUAGUUCUCUCAGAGAGUGCAGUUAUGAACGAAACGGGCACUAUUUGUGGGGUUGAUUUGAAAAAUGGAACCGUGUGCAGAAGGCGACCUGAGGUAGGAAGAAAGAGGUGCGAAGAACACAAAGGCAUGAGAGUUACAGGAUCCAAGUCUAUGUUACCAGCAGCAGGAGAUAUACCCCUUGGUUUUUGAUGGGCCAGCCAGGGAUUCGUUGUGAAGAGCAAAAAAUCCUCCAGCUCAAAGGAAGAGCACAAACUCGUAAGAUCGAAAUCACAUGAAUCGAUACCUUGGUAGGAGGAAUAGAACGUCGCGGUUUGUUUUCCAUGAUCCGGCUGACGAUGGAUGGAAUCGGGCCGCUAGAAUUGCCGCUCCAAGCGAAGUCGAAACAGGAUUGUUGAAUGACGAAAUUGACCUCGCAUGGAGGUAUUGGGGUGAAGCGGGAGCCUUGGCGGGUUUUUUCUACCGGAAUCAUUGAUAUCUUUAACUAUGAAGAAUAGGAGAAGCAUGAAGGAUUAACGGUAACCGGAGUAGAAUCAUCGUGUAUUUCCUAUUUCGUUGAGACAAAAUCAAGUUUUCACGCGCAGAGCUUUCCAUUGUUGAAUCAAUGGAAUCAAUAUGCUCUGCAACUCCUUUUGCCAUCAACCAUCGUGGAUGUAAUCUGUUCAUUCAACAAUGGAAAUCUUUGUACGCGAAAAACUUGAUUCCAUCGUGGCAAAAUUGGAAAUCCAUGAUGAUUCAACUCUUCUCGUCAUUAAUCUUCACG